UACGAAGGGGGCUAGCGUUGCUCGGAAUCACUGGGCGUAAAGCGCACGUAGGCGGAUCUUUAAGUCAGGGGUGAAAUCCUGGAGCUCAACUCCAGAACUGCCUUUGAUACUGGGGAUCUCGAGUCCGGAAGAGGUGAGUGGAACUCCGAGUGUAGAGGUGAAAUUCGUAGAUAUUCGGAAGAACACCAGUGGCGAAGGCGGCAACCUGGACAGAUAUUGACGCUGAUGUGCGAAAGCGUGGGGAGCAAACAGG
rnacentral:rRNA from 1 species